UGCUUACGAAUGCUCUGACUUUAUUGCACUACUGUAUUUGACAGCUAGCAGUGCAAUAGUAUUGUCAAAGCAUCUGAAAGCAGA
rnacentral:pre_miRNA from 17 species